GAGAUAAUUUUAUUUGAACUUCUAAUUCAAAAUUUAAUGAAAAAAUUUCAUUUUAUCCCA
rnacentral:tRNA from 1 species